AGCCGUUCGAUUUCCGGGGUUGGACUGCGAGGAAGGCAGGAUGGGUCAGAGUCAGAGUGGUGGACAUGGACCUGGAGGAGGCAAGAAAGAUGACAAAG